UGCCAGCAGCCGCGGUAAUACGAAGGGUGCAAGCGUUACUCGGAAUUACUGGGCGUAAAGCGUGCGUAGGUGGUUCGUUAAGUCUGAUGUGAAAGCCCUGGGCUCAACCUGGGAAUGGCAUUGGAUACUGGCGGGCUAGAGUGCGGUAGAGGGUAGUGGAAUUCCCGGUGUAGCAGUGAAAUGCGUAGAGAUCGGGAGGAACAUCCGUGGCGAAGGCGACUACCUGGACCAGCACUGACACUGAGGCACGAAAGCGUGGGGAGCAAACAGGAUUAGAUACCCUGGUAGUCCACGCCCUAAACGAUGCGAACUGGAUGUUGGGCUCAACUUGGAGCUCAGUAUCGAAGCUAACGCGUUAAGUUCGCCGCCUGGGGAGUACGGUCGCAAGACUGAAACUCAAAUGAAUUGGCGG
rnacentral:rRNA from 1 species